UACAGAGGCCCCAAGCAUUAUCCGGAAUCACUGGGCGUAAAGGGUGUGUGGGCGGUCGUGUUAGUCUUUUGUGAAAGAUCUCUGGCUUAACCAGAGGGACGCAGAGGAAACGGCACGACUCAGAGGACGCGAGAGGUAAGGGGAACUCAUGGUGUAGGGGUGAAAUCCGUUGAUAUCAUGGGGAACACCAAAUGCGAAGGCACCUUACUGGCGCGCUCCUGACGCUGAAACACGAAAGCGUGGGAAUCGAACGGG
rnacentral:rRNA from 1 species